rnacentral:rRNA from 1 species
CAGCCGCCGCGGUAACACAGAGGGUGCGAGCGUUAAUCGGAUUUACUGGGCGUAAAGCGUGCGUAGGCGGCUUCUUAAGUCGGAUGUGAAAUCCCUGAGCUUAACUUAGGAAUUGCAUUCGAUACUGGGAAGCUAGAGUAUGGGAGAGGAUGGUAGAAUUCCAGGUAUAGCGGUGAAAUGCGUAGAGAUCUGGAGGAAUACCGAUGGCGAAGGCAGCCAUCUGGCCUAAUACUGACGCUGAGGUACGAAAGCAUGGGGAGCAAACAGGAUUAGAUACCCGUGUAGUCCCUGUCUCUUAUAC